rnacentral:misc_RNA from 1 species
GGAAGUAAAAGACGUAACAAGGUUUCCGUAGGUGAACCUGCGGAAGGAUCAUUAUUGAAUAAACCUGAUGUGGUUGUAGCUGGCCCUUUCGGGAGCAUGUGCACACCCGUCGUCUUUAUCUUUCCACCUGUGCACCUUUUGUAGACCUGGAUGUAACACUUUCCGAGGCAACUCGGUCGGGAGGAAUGCUGUCAGCUUUCCUUGAAUGUCCAGGCCUAUGUUUUCAUAUACCCCAAAGAAUGUAACAGAAUGUAUUAUUGGGCCUUGUGCCUAUAAACUAUAUACAACUUUCAGCAACGGAUCUCUUGGCUCUC